GAAUCUGUAGUGUAGCCUGGAUAUCACUCUAGCCUCCGGAGCUGGAAACCCGUGUUCGAAUCGCGGCAGAUUCGCCA
rnacentral:tRNA from 2 species